CCCUUAGAUGUUCUGGGCCGCACGCGCGCUACACUGAUGCAUUCAACGAGCCUAUCCUUGACCGACAGGUCCGGGUAAUCUUUGAAUCUGCAUCGUGACGGGGGUAGAUUAUUGCAAUUAUUAAUCUUCAACGAGGAAUGCCUAGUAGGCGCAAGUCAUCAGCUUGCGUCGAUUACGUCCCUGCCCUUUGUACACACCGCCCGUCGCUCCUACCGAUUGGGUGUGCUGGUGAAAUGUUCGGAUCGGCCGUUUGUCGCGGUUUCCGCGGCUCGUGGCUGAGAAGUUCAUUAAACCCUCCCACCUAGAGGAAGGAGAAGUCGUAACA
rnacentral:rRNA from 1 species